UGAAUACGAGACGCUAAGGCGUCGAAGUAGUGUAUGUCAUACUUCCAAGAAAAGCUUGCACUGUCAUAAGUAAAAAAUGCCUGUACCAUAACCGACACAGGUGGGUAGGUAGAGUAUACUAAGGGGCGCGAGAUAACUCUCUCUAAGGAACUCGGCAAAAUAACUCCGUAACUUCGGGAGAAGGAGUACCUUAUUCUAUAAGGUUGCAAUAACAAGAUCCAAGCAACUGUUUAUCAAAAACACAGGUCUCCGCUAAGUCGUAAGACGAUGUAUGGGGGCUGACGCCUGCCCAGUGCCAGAAGGUUAAAGAAGUCGGUUAGCAUUAGCGAAGCUGGUAACUGAAGCCCUGGUGAACGGCGGCCGUAACUAUAACGGUCCUAAGGUAGCGAAAUUCCUUGUCGGGUAAGUUCCGACCCGCACGAAAGGCGUAAUGAUUUGGAUACUGUCUCGGAGAGGGGCUCGGUGAAAUAGACUUGUCUGUGAAGAUGCGGACUACCUGCACCAGGACAGAAAGACCCUAUGAAGCUUUACUGUAACUUGAAAUUGAAAUUGGACUUUAUUCGCGCAGUAUAGGUGGGAGGUGUUGAUUAUAAUCUUGCGGGAUUAUUGGAGCCAUCAGUGAGAUACCACUCUUGUAAUGUUAGAUUUCUAACUUUGAAUCAUUAUCUGGUCAAAGGACAGUUUCAGGCGGGCAGUUUGACUGGGGCGGUCGCCUCCCAAACGGUAACGGAGGCGUACAAAGGUUUCCUCUGAACGGGUAGAAAUCGUAUCUAGAGUGUAAAGGCAUAAGGAAGCUUGACUGUGAGACCUACAAGUCGAACAGGGACGAAAGUCGGUCUUAGUGAUCUGACGGUACUGAGUGGAAAGGCCGUCACUCAACGGAUAAAAGUUACUCUAGGAUAACAGGCUGAUCUCCCCCAAGAGUUCACAUCGACGGGGAGGUUUGGCACCUCGAUGUCGGCUCAUCGCAUCCUGGGGCGGUAGUACGUCCCAAGGGUUGGGCUGUUCGCCCAUGAAAGCGGUACGCGAGCUGGGUUCAGAACGUCGUGAGACAGUUCGGUCCAUAUCCGGUGUAGGCGUUAGAAUAUUGAGAGGAGCCUUCUUUAGUACGAGAGGACCGAGAAGGACAUACCUCUGGUGUACCAGUUAUCGUGCCAACGGUAAACGCUGGGUAGCUAUGUAUGGAGUGGAUAACCGCUGAAAGCAUCUAAGUGGGAAGCCCACCUCAAGAUAAGUACUCUCAU
rnacentral:rRNA from 1 species